rnacentral:rRNA from 1 species
GACGAACGCUGGCGGCGUGCUUAACACAUGCAAGUCGAACGGUGAAGCGCCUUCCUUUUUGGUGGGUGUGGAUGAGUGGCGAACGGGUGAGUAACACGUGAGUAACCUGCCCCCUUCUUCUGGAUAACCGCAUGAAAGUGUGGCUAAUACGGGAUAUUCUGGGUCUGUCGCAUGAUGGGUCUGGGAAAGAUAUUGUUUCGGUGGGGGAUGGGCUCGCGGCCUAUCAGCUUGUUGGUGGGGUGAUGGCCUACCAAGGCGGUGACGGGUAGCCGGCCUGAGAGGGUGGACGGUCACACGGGGACUGAGACACGGCCCAGACGCAUACGGGAGGCAGCAGUGGGGAAUAUGGCACAAUGGGCGCAAGCCUGAUGCAGCGACGCCGCGUGAGGGAUGGAGGCCUUCGGGUUGUGAACCUCUUUCGCCAGUGAAGCAGGCCUGCCUCGUUUGUGGGUGGGUUGACGGUAGCUGGAUAAGAAGCGCCGGCUAACUACGUG